AAUGUCAUUCCAUUCAAAAAUUGACGAGUGCAUUCACCAUGUUUUUAGACAUCUUAGUUACGAGGAAAUCAGAAGACAUUAUUAAAGUUCACAGUGUUUUUGAAAAAAAAUAGGAGAAGGAUAAAAUUGUCUUUUUAUAAACCACGAUGAGGCACUGCAGAAUAUGUUACACUAUACAAUACUCCAAAUUCCAGAAGGGAGCGUUAACAACGUAAUAAGAUAAAAAAUAACGAACUUAAUCGUUUGGAUCUAAAUGAUAACAAGGAGGUCAUUCACUUCGAUCAUCACCUGCUUGCUGAGGCAUUGCCCCAACAUAAAAAAAUAACUACCCGGAAGUAUAGGCGAUAAACAGUACAGGGUGGUCCAAAUGGUUCAAUAAUGAUUGGAUCUCCGGAAAUACCAUUGUUAGAUGGAAAAAUGGAUCGCCAAUUUUCGAGCUCCUUUUUCGAGAAAAAAAAAAAGAAACUGAAAACCACAAGUUGAUAUUAUUUUUUACUUUUCGAUAUAUGAAUAAAAAUUGGAAAAUUCCCAUUUUCAUCAAAACAUCA